UAUUUUAUUAAUAUAAAUAAGUAUAUUUGAUUUCCAAUCAAAAAGUUUAAUUUUAAAUAAAAU
rnacentral:tRNA from 1 species